UACAGAGGUCUCAAGCGUUGUUCGGAUUCAUUGGGCGUAAAGGGUGCGUAGGCGGCGAGGCAAGUCUGGUGUGAAAUCCCCGGGGGCUCAACCCCGGAACUGCACUGGAUACUGCUUUGCUAGAGUACUGGAGAGGGAACUGGAAUUUACGGUGUAGCAGUGAAAUGCGUAGAUAUCGUAAGGAAGACCAGCGGCGAAGGCGAGUUCCUGGACAGUUCCUGACGCUGAGGCACGAAGGUCAGGGGGAGCAAACGGG
rnacentral:rRNA from 1 species